GUAGCUAAAUGCGGAAGAGAUAAGUGCUGAAAGCAUCUAAGCACGAAACUUGCCCCGAGAUGAGUUCUCCCUGAGACCUUGAGUCUCCUGAAGGAACGUUGAAGACGACGACGUUGAUAGGUCGGGUGUGUAAGCGCAGCGAUGCGUUGAGCUAACCGAUACUAAUGAACCGUGAGGCUUAACCUUACAACGCCGAAGGUGUUU
rnacentral:rRNA from 2 species